AUGGAGGAGAAUAGCUCAGCCAGUGAGCAUGUGUUCAGAAUGUUUGGGUACUACAAUCACUUGAAACAACCUACGAGCUGCCGAGGAGGGCAGCGAUGGCGUGGGGGGUGCCGUGAAGUGCACGACAACUAG
rnacentral:rRNA from 1 species